CUGCUUCUCACUAGUUUUCUUGAUUCUUUCUGCAGCCUCCAGUAGCGUGUGAAUGCUGUGAAUGACUUCUCCUGGAAGACCUCAAGCAUCUUGCCAUAGGGAUGAAAAAUUCUUUUUCCCCUCUCUCCCCUCCUUGUUCAUCUAAGUAACAGAGAAAUACCUACACUGAAUGAUGAAUCUUCUACAAGUCUUAGAGACAUCAGCUUCAGUAUAUGCAAAUAAAGAUUCUGUUUUUAAAAGGGUCUCUUUGUGUACACACCAUCAUCAUCCUAAUAGCUCCUCGGUCAGUGUGCUGCAUCUCUGCAUUUGCAUAAAAGCUGAGGCUGACAAUAAAGUUUCCAGUUAGUGCCAAAUGAGUCGGUGUUUUUUGUAAUGUUAAACACUUCUCCAGUGCGCUGAGACCACGCAUCUCAUUUCAUGUGGGAUAGUGAACAAUUAACAUCUUUCAGCCACUUAGCCACCAG
rnacentral:lncRNA from 1 species